rnacentral:rRNA from 1 species
CCAAUAGCGUAUAUUAAAGUUGUUGCAGUUAAAAAGCUCGUAGUUGAAUUUCGGGAUCAAUAUGUUGGUCGUGCCUUUGGUACGUACUAAUUUAUUGGUUUCUUCCUUCUGACGAACCAUGAUGUCAUUAAUUUGGUGUCAUGGGAAAUCAGGACUGUUACUUUGAAAAAAUUAGAGUGUUUAAAGCAGGCUUCACGCUUGAAUACAUUAGCAUGGAAUAAUGAAAUAGGACGUUUGAUUCUAUUUUGUUGGUUUCUAGGAUCGACGUAAUGAUUAAUAGGGAUAGUUGGGGGCAUUAGUAUUCAAUUGUCAGAGGUGAAAUUCUUGGAUUUAUUGAAGACUAACUACUGCGAAAGCAUUUGCCAAGGAUGUUUUCAUUAAUCAAGAACGAAAGUUAGGGGAUCGAAGACGAUCAGAUACCGUCGUAGUCUUAACCAUAAACUAUGCCGACUAGGGAUCGGAUGAUGUUAAUUUUUUAAUGACUCAUUCGGCGCCUUACG